rnacentral:misc_RNA from 1 species
AAAAGACCUUAGUUAUAACCAAAUGAAUCUUCUGAUUAGUUUUACCUUAUUUUGAUUCUGAGAUCUAAAAGUCUUGGAGCCUGUAGUCUCAUCAUAAUUAGUAGGAAAUCUGUGUGUAUAUAUUAUUGUUAGGAAUCUUUAAGUGUUAGAAUUUUCACAUCGAAAAGAGAUGGAAUGAAUGAGAGAUAUAUAAGUAGAAAGGACCAAUAUGUCCAUUGCCUUAAGGUUUUGGGUUGGAUGUGGUUUUAAACCUAUGAAUGUGUUCUUUUACAAGGCCCAUCAAGAAAGAUUCUCCCCCAAGCGUUUUAGGCUUCUCAGAUCUCUAACAAGAAUAAAUUAGGAAUUAACAGAGCAUUGAUAGAAGAAAAGCCACAAACCCAUUGAUUACAAUAAAACCGAACUAAACUAAAUUACAUAUUAAACCAAACCAAAUUUUAAUUUCGGUUCAGUUUACUUAGGUCUGUUAUUUCGGUUCAAACCGAAUUUUGCUCAACUAAUGACGACAUCAUGGUGGACCUUGAAGCACCACAAUUCA